UGAAUACAUGAGGACAAAAAUUGUCUGAUGACAUGAAAAAUAGUGUGUUAGAGAUGAAGAGAACACGUCUUACUCUUAAAAUGUCUAAUAGAGUUGAUUUAUCAUCUUUCAAUAAAACAGCAAGUGGGGCCCUAAAUAAUGUAUAAACUCAGGAAACAUUAAUCAAGCGUUUAUUUUUCUUUUAAAGUCAUAUAGUUGAGAAUGCUUUAUUUUCAGUUAGGAGAAAUAAAGUGAUAAAAACAACCGUGAGCUCAUUCUCCCUUGCAGCCAUCCCACGUCCUUAGCCAUGAAUCAUGGAGGCCUCCCCUGCUUCCUUGGGGGUAAUCUACAGAGCUAAGGCUCUGUCACUCUUCUAUUGUGGAUGGAAAUCAGUGAGGCUGGAGUUCUCAAAGAAAUGCUGCAGCCAUGGCUGCCCACACACCUCAGGGCUCCAAGGAAGACAUUUGAGGACACAGAUGACAUCCUACCAUGACUACUAGGAAAGCCAGCUUCACCACGAAGGAAAUGAGACUAAUUCAGUAUGGUGUAAACAAGAACAAUGCAUGUUCAUGCUUUGGGGUUCACCCUUCUAUUUGAAGUACUCCUUAGAAUCUAUUUAAUAUUUUUAUUUGAUGAUAUGUCUAAGAGAAAUACUUCCAAGCUUACUGGUCUAUAUAUUCUCCUUUUAUAAUAGAGGAAUUAGAGUCAAUGCAGAGGCCAGAUCCUGGUGUUUGUUAUAUCCUCUUACAACUCUCACCUAAAUACGUAUGUGAGAGAUUUUGAUAAAGAUCUAUUAAGAGACCAAAAUUGCAAUAGCACAGGAAACCAAAAAUAAGAAAAGGCCAUAUGUCGUUGUGUGAAGGGGAUUUUCAAUGACUUGGAAUACACAUUCUAGUGUAGAUAUAGUCCAUUUACUGCACCAGCACUGCAUAAACAGCUGCAUCCCAUGUCUGCUCCUAACUUUGCGACUGAAGGAUUAUGUUAACCAGAAAAUCUGAGAGCCAGCUAAACCCUGAUGCCCAACAACUUUAGUAAAGAUUAUCUAUCUAUCUACCUACCUACCUAUCUACUUACCUACCUACCUACCUAUUUCCAUCUAUCCACCCGUAUUAUUAAU
rnacentral:lncRNA from 1 species